AUACGUAGGGUGCGAGCGUUGUACGGAAUUACUGGGCGUAAAGAACUCGUAGGUGGUUUGUCGCGUCGUCUGUGAAAUUCCGGGGCUUAACUCCGGGCGUGCAGGCGAUACGGGCAUAACUUGAGUACUGUAGGGGAGACUGGAAUUCCUGGUGUAGCGGUGAAAUGCGCAUAUAUCAGGAGGAACACCGGUGGCGAAGGCGAGUCUCUGGGCAGUAACUGAGUCUGAGGAGCGAAAGCAUGGGUAGCGAUCAGGAUUAGAUACCCUGGUAGUCCAUGCCGUAAACGGUGGGCGCUAGGUGUAGGGGUCUUCCACGACUUCUGUGCCGUAGCUAACGCAUUAAGCGCCCCGCCUGGGGAGUACGGCCGCAAGGCUAAAACUCAAAUGAAUUGACGGGG
rnacentral:rRNA from 1 species